rnacentral:lncRNA from 1 species
AUUAAAGGCAAAUUUGUGUAGUAAACACAGCAUUCAUCCUUGAAAAACAAAUGGAUAAUUGGGUUUCCAUAAAUUUAAUAAAGCAAAGAGCUUGAGGUGAAGAUAUUCAAUGGUGCCAAUUAAAGCUAAAAUGCAUAUAUACAUGGCAAUCUAGGUCAUUAUUGUUUUCCUUAAAAGCAGAAAGGCUUCUUCAUUCUUGAAUUCUUCUCUAUCAGAAUGAAUGGUAGCAUCAGUGGCAGUCAACCUUGCUUGGAGACUGACUGCUUCUGAUGUUAGAGCUAGCUCCACCACGAGGCGGUGGUUUUGGUGGCAGAAAAUAAAUCAGAAUCAAAAUCCACCACCAAGAGCCGGCGCCCAAUAAUCAGCUCCAUUAAUGUCAUUUCCCACGUGCUGAGUGCAAGAAACUGGAACCAAGCACAGCCCUCUACUUCUCAAGUCCUUCUGUCCAUCUUCAGUAUUCUAUAAUUAUGUUAGCAGAAAAUGAGACAUUAGUUUAGAUCAAUUAGAAUUUUUUAACGAUAUUAUGAAAUUUACGAAGACAUUUGAAAUCACAGAUUAAGAAACAAUUUCGAUAAAAAAAAAAAAAAAAAAAAAAGAGAUAUUGAGCAAAAUCGUUUAUAUUAGUUAGGUUUCUUAUGAAACUACUGUUACAGAUUAUUUCACCUAACAAAUAGUUUGGCAAAUUUUAAUCAAGACUUAUAAACGUUGCACAGAAUUGGAAGGGUCUGAGGCCGUUAACUUUUGAAAAGUCAAAAGUUAUUUCUAAAAUUAAGAAACUGUUUUUGAAUAUUUUUAAAUAAUUUUUGAUAAAUUUAUUUAUUUAUUUUUCAGCAUGAGCUUCCUCAAAUUAUUUUUAUAUAAGAUGCAGAAAUAAGAGCAGAAUGUCGUUAAACGGGCCUCAAUUGGAGUAUCAUAAAAACAAAUUGGAAUUGAAAUCAUAAUUGUAAUUAUGGUCAUAAAACAGAUUGGAUUAUGAAACCAUUGCAUUUAAUUAAAUAAGAAAAAUAAGUGAGCACCUCCUCAUAAGCUCCACUCCCUUCCAUGCUAACAUCAUUCAAGAACUAGAUGAAGAAAAUUCAUAAAGAAGAUAAAUGUCAUCAAAUUAGGGCUGGCAUUAAGAAUAUUACUUAAAAAAAAAAAAAAAAAAAAAGAACUGUUAUUAGCAAAAUUAAGAAGGCGUUUGUUUCUCAUUUUUGCAAAAAUUUGAAUGAAAAAUAUGGUCGUCAUGGGCCCCACACAAUAGAUGAAAAUUUAAAUUUGGUGACUUGAUGUGAUGGAUAAUGAUUAUAUUUUUAUUUUAAUGGAGAAAGAAUGAGAAACAAACAGGGGUUUAGUUCAUAAAUCUGGGAAACUUUUUACAGAGGCAACUUUUUCUACUUCAAAACACUUGCAUUUUGCUAUAAAUAACCAAUAAUUUAUUGAAAAAUAUUAUUUGCAAUUGCUCACUAAUGAAGUUGUCCUAUGUGGCAUACAUGCAUCAAAUCACUAACCGUCACAUUAUGCCAUACAUCAAAUCAUUUACUACUACAUAUAUAUCAUGCGGGGUGACUACAGUACUGAACAGCUGCAAAUAGUAUUAUUUUAAUUUAAUUUAAAGCCUCUUUUGAGGAAAGUGAGGGAUCCAAUAAAGCAUACCU